GGUAAAGUCAAAAAUAGAAGACCCAUGAAUCUGGGUGAGGUCAGACUCCUUUACAGGUUCAGGUUGAUUGGUUUGCAAUAAAACCACUGAGAUCUGCCAGUUUUUAAUGAGCUUUUCUCUGAAGAGGUGAACUUGUAUUUUCACUGGGGGUUACUCUUGAGGGUAUGUUUCACAUGCCUGUCCUAAACAUUCCCUCUAGACCUUGCUGCUUUCCCACAUUAAAAAUCAUCAGAUGAUGCAGCCAUAAUAAAUAAUUCUAGCAAAGGAUCUACCCUCUAGUUGUGAAAAUGGAUCUUGACUCAGAGGCCAGUGAAUUUCUUUUGAGGAGAAGCUGAUCAAGCUACUCCAAGAGUGACCACACCCCAGCCUGCAGUCUGAAUCCAGAUUGCUGGACAACACUCCACAUGCUUCUUUUUUCUCCACUAUUGACUAGAUUCUAUACAAGGCAACAUUUUCAGAAGCUUAUUCUGUACUGUAGCCUUUAGGGAUGUGUGGUUUUUCCCCUCCUUUAUUUGGCCAAACGUACAUCUGUUGUACCAUAAAAAGGUGACAACCAUGGAGUCCGAGAAUGCAAGAACAUGUCUUCUACUGCCAAGGACCAGUUGACACCCACAGAGGGACAGAAUGGCAAAGGCUGCAUGCCCUGAAAGAGAGGAAGUUUAUAAAAAGAUUUUUGUUUUCAUUCAUGCUGUGACCUAAGUAACAUCCCAGUUUAAACAUUAAACGUGAGGUCAUUAACUUGUCACAGUGAUUUCUAGCUUAAAAUUUUAUAGUAAAAUAAGAACUAAGAAGGCAUGAAAAGGAUCAUUAGUUGAUAUGACAGAGCCUGCUGAAAUGUAACCCUUUCCAUACUUCAUAUAUUUAGAGACAGUGAUUUUAAGUUAUAUUAUUAGAACUACAUACCCCAUUUAAGCCAGUGACUGAUUCAUACCUUAAAAAUAAGACUAUGUGAAAAAUGCAUUUCCGAAAAAAUAAUUAUCAGGGGGUUGUCCUGCUUUUGCUAAAAAGUAAAAUAUUUUUUAAAUUAUAGUUUGAACUUAAACAAUGUAGGAGAAACAGGCUAUAUUGUUCAUUGAGUUGCAAUCAGAUGUCUGUAGCAGAUGAUUUACAGAAGAAAAAUGACCAUGUCUCAUGCAUCAUUAUUAAUUUUUACCCUUUAAAAUAGGCACAAUCUAAGCUGAGGCCAACAUACUCUUUUCGUAUUGGUUUUAUAUUACUGCCAGUCUCAGUGUUUUAAAGUAGGUGAAAUUACUUAAUUUCAUUUUUAUUAAAAUUCUGAAUGCGGCAUGGUUCUAGAGCUAGUAAAAUUCAUUCUAAAUUUUGUCUGAAAGUAAUAAUUUGCAUUUUCUGUGGGGUUUAAUCUUUUCUUCUAAUUGAGCAUAGUAUUUUUCUUUCAUCUUUGUAUAGACACUUUCAACCAGCUUAAUUUAUUAACGAUCAGAUGUUAAACAUAGCAUAUAUAACCUAUCUCAUACUUAAGGGAAAAUGGCUGAUAA